UACUACUAAGCUGUUUUUUCAACCCACAAUGGCGGAAGGAGAAGAUAUCUAUUUGGUCGAAGAUAUAAUUAUAACGCCAUUCUCAAGACAAAGUUUUCAAGAAAAGUUAGACAUUGUCAGGAGAGGUAGAUGUUACGGAGUCGAGUUGAUAGGUAAUCGACGAGCCGGACUGCACUAUGCAUCGUUGUAUGCGUGGAAGCUUGACAGAAAUGGUAUCCAGAUGACACAACUGCUGACAGCUACAGGGACAUGAACACAAAAAAAAAUGCUGCUUUCGUACCAUUUUGCGCAAUGAUCAGACUGACAGUGUCAUUGGUACAGCAGAAGUACAUUCAUUUCAAAUGGAAUGCUGUGUUUGCAGCGGUGCGUUCUGUGUGGUGUGUAUCCAACGUAAGCAUCAAAUUGUAUGCAUAGACUUGACAGGUAUAUUAGCAAAAGGUUAAUUGUGAUCUUUUGUUGCGCACAUUCAGUAAACAUGCUUGACUGCAGAAUUUAUUAAGCAGCAUUAAUGGAAUGAUACUGUCGUCUGAUCGAGGCGGCACCUGCUGCUCUAACAGCUAGAUCACACCUACAGUUUCAUUGGUCCGCAGCAUGAUCUGGAUGUGUGCAACAAAAGUUCAACAUUCAUCUUCUGCUACCAUUUCUGUCAAGCAGUUCUACACAUACAGUUUGAUGCCAACGUUCGAUAAAUGCAACGUAUGCCCCACACAGAACGCCCUGCAAAGCAAUGAGGCAAGGCAAACGCAGCGUUCCAUUGGAAAUGAAUGUACUUCUGUUGUACCAAAAUGCAAUGAUUACUGUCGGUGUGAUCGCGGUAUAAGCUCCACCCCACUGAUAAUUGUGCUAGAAAACAGAUAGGCAAGUAAUUCAAGGUGUGUUUCACAGAAGAGCAGCACACAGGACAACCAACAAUGCACCUUUUACAGGCAUUGUUCCUGACGUUUAUGGAGAUUGUGUUCAGGGUAAACACUGCCCAUGUCGGGUCAAGCGUAAACUACCUAAAAGUCAGUUCUAACGCUUCGAACAGACCGACUGCAUCACUGCUGCAUAACAUUUUGCGCAGCUAGGCAACUAUACUGAUAGGUAUAGGUAUCUUUUGCAGAUGGUAGCAUGCGGUUGCACACAUGGAGGAGAAUCUUUUUCGCAGUAUCCUCAAAACCGUGUCUUUUUGACACAACUGCUGACAGCUACAGGGACAUAAACACACAAAAAAAAUGCUGCUUGGAGACAAGUGCCCACAAUAGUAGGAUUUCCAGGUCAGUUUAGUAGUGAGCUUGUGCUAGAUGUGGCUAGGUAGCUAGCUAGCUAACCUAGCCAAUGAGGUAUGUGUGGGAAAGAAAUAGUUAUAUAAAUUAUGCUAGUUACUACCCCUAAUAACUUUCCCAAAUAAUCAUGUUUGAAAUAGUGUGAGUGUGUAUGGCAGAUACAUAGUCAUAGAAAUGGUAGAUACUACUGUACCACUGAUAAUUUGGUCAGAUGUGUGUGUGUCUGUCUAUGUGUACAGUAGGUGACAUGUCCAUGAUAGCCAUCUAAUAACUAUAGUUAUGCUAGGUAAUGGUUUGGCUUAUCAUGUUCAUGUCUAUGUAGAAGACUGUAGGAGGUAGUGGAGAGGACUCAGGGACAGGUAUCAGAGAGAGAGAGAAGGGCAGAGAAAGAGAAGAAGAGGUCUGGGUCAGCAGCCUUGGCGCUUCUGCCACAUUCUUUUCUGGAACCAUUUAUUGUGCCUCGGGCAACGAGUGGCAAUUUUACAGCCAGACCCUCUACUACGUCAUCCACAAGUGUUGUCCCCACCGGUGCAUCAAGACCCUCAACGUCAUCUACAAGUGUGACCACCGGUGCAGCGAGACCCUCUACAACGUCUACAUCAUCCACAAGUAUGACCACCACCGGUGCAGCCAUGGAAGAUGAUGAAAUGGAGGAAUCACCUCUGGAUCUAGGACCGCCUAAGAUUAUUAUGAACCUCACGGAAGUGACCACAGAGGACCUCGUUGAACAGGAUGUGGCCCGAGGAGAGAAACAAUGAGGAACAACGUCCCACCAGGCGUCAUCUGAGGUACCAGCCCCCAGAUCCACUCAACUCAUUUCAGCAGAGGCUCCUCCAAGCCGUUGAGAGGGAUGCAGCCCAACCUGAUGCUCACAGGAAGGAGGAUGAAGAGACCCUCUUUACCAUGAGCCUGGUGCCAACACUGAAGAGGCUGCCUCAGCAAAGAGAAGCAACAGUCAAGGUUAAAAUGUAUCAGCUGCUUUUCGAAGCUGAGUUCAAUAAGAUGGAGUCAAUUUAGCCGACCAGCUCACAGGGAGGACAGGAAGAGGAGUUGUCUGGUUGCCGUUUUGACCUCCCUCAUUGUACCUUUUCACACACGUCAGUUCCGUUUAAAUUGUCAAUUCAUGAAGUAAUUUGUUUAUAAAGUCUUAGGAUAGCAUUCAUUAUUAGUGUUACAUAGAUUUCUGAAUUGACAGAAUUGAAACUCAUACACCAGAUAAUUCAGAUGCUCUUGUUGGUCUCUAACAAGACUAAAGGUGAAUAUAUUUAAUUUAAAACCACUUGAAAACCAGGGUGUUGAAACGUUUUGUGAAGUUAUGUUCCAUCGACUGGUCCAUGACAUCCAGGGGCCAUUUGUUUGUUUAGCUGCGUUAUGGCUACACAUGUUUUUUCAGACAGACACACCUGUCCUCCACUCCUGUCUGUGCCUCAGAUCUCCAGUGUCCUGCCCUCUCUUUAUGGCCAUGUCUGAAGUUCCCCUAAUACGUCUAGGCUUUAUGAGUAGUGCCUGUCUGCAGUUGUGCCAAAAAUGCAUGCUCUUGUUCUCUUACAGAUUACAGGCUACACAUUUAUUUGUUGUAUUUUUUUUACACGCACAUACACACACACACACCUCUUUCAAUAGUUGUUUUUAACAUUUUUUACAACACAAACCUGUCAUGUUUUUUCCUGUACUUGAAUACUUAUUAAAUUAUAACAUUUU